GAGAUGUCAUGAGAGGAGAUUUUGGAACAAAUUGAUAAAUUAAGCAGUAAUAAGUCACCAGGACCAGAUGGUAUUCACCCAUGAGAUCUGAAGGCACUCAAAUAUGGAGUUGCAGAACUACUAACUGGGGUAUGUAAUCUAUUG